AAAAAGUGUACAUGGGGGCACAAAUUUUUGUGUUGCUCAUGGUGGUGGAAAGAGGUGUGUGGUGCCAGGAUGCACAAAAAGUGCUCGUGGGCGCACUGAUUGCUGUGUCAGACAUGGCGGAGGCAAGCGAUGCAAAUUUGAGAACUGUGGCAAGAGUGCCCAAGGGAGCACAGACUUCUGCAAAGCCCAUGGAGGUGGAAAACGAUGCACAUGGGUAGAAGGCAAGUGUGAAAAAUUUGCGAGGGGUAAGAGUGGUUUAUGUGCUGCUCAUAGUAGCAUGAUCCAAGAUCGAGAAACAAACAAGGGAAGCCUGAUCGGACCAGGACUUUUCCAUGGUCUUGUGUCUGCUUCUGCUGCGUCUACAGUUGGAGAUAGCUUGGACAACUAUAAUUCAUCUUCUGGAAUCAGUUUCAUAUGUGAUUCGACUGAUUCAGCGGAGAAGCCUAGUAAGCGACAUCAGCAGCUUAUACCUUCACAGGUAUUGGUCCCAUCUUCCAUGAGGUCAUCAGCAUCAUAUUCUAGUUUCGUGAGUACAGAGAAGGGAGAGGGAGAGGAAGAUGGGAAUGGAUAUUGUAUUGGCACAAAA
rnacentral:misc_RNA from 1 species